GAUGUUGGAGUUAUUCCACGAUACUGAGCUCAAUGAUUUUCGUGCCUGGCUCCAAGUGCCAGCAAUACAGCGCCUUUCAGUUGGUGUUCCGGUUUCGGGUUGUGCUGUUCGUUGCCUUUUCCUCCUAAAUAACAAACGUGUCGUUUUCUCAUCCAUCUACAUACAUACACAUAAACAUACAUACAAAUGUACAUACAUACGCAUGCACAUAUAUCUGCAUACAAACAUUGACAAAGAAGUUACAAAAAAAAAAACGAUAAUAAAAAAAUACCUACAACAAAAAGACAGAAACAGUAAAUGUAUAUGGACUUUGAAAAGUGAAAGAAGAAAUUGAUGAAAAUGACCACCAAAUUAGCGAAUAUCAACAGACAACAGAUAAAAGACAAAAUGACAAGCAUCAGUGGAUAGAUACGACAAACCGCAAUGCGAAUAAGGGGGAAAAUGCACGAAAUGUAUUAGCAGCAGGAGGAAUGAACGGCCAAGUAAAAAAGUAAAAAGAAUGCGAUGAAAGAGGCAACUGACAGAAAUUGACUGAAAAAAAACAAAGCAAUUGGCGCUUGUUGGCAUUAAAAGGCAACAACGCAAAUUGAAUUAGUGAGAAACUAAAAUUGUGUUGUGGAAAAUUAAAAUUAGCAACAUUUUUACAAAUCUAAAACCAUAAUCGGGUAAUAAACAACAUUCAAAAUAAUGACUUAAGGUGAAAUUGCGCAGAAUUAUUGAAAAAUUACCGUUCUUUUCUGAGCUUGUUUGUUGAAUGCAAAAUAUGGGAAAGUUCCGACAGCAGCCGAGCAUCACUUAAAUGUGUUUCAAAAUAUUUUCUUGCGAACCAAUAACUAAAACACACGAAAACGAAAAAAAAAAGAAAAAUUGCAUUCAAUAAAUUUGUAAUUAUAUAAAAAAAAUUUAAAAAUGCCAGAAAAGUGUAAAAAAUUAUGUAAAAACGAAACUUAGCAAAAAACAAAAAGUGAAAAACUUCGAACCAAAAAAAAUUGAGUUGCAAUUAAUUACAAAAAAAAAACAAAAGUAAAAAAAGUGACAACUAAACACUGAAACUUAAAAAUAAUAUUGGUUUUUUGCGAAAUUAGCAAUUUAAAAUAAUUAUUUCUAUUAUAUAGAAAAAGAAAACUUGCGGCUAAUUAAUAGAUAAUUGGCAAAAUGUGCAAAGAACGGGAAACGAAAAAAUAAUAAUCGCCAACAAAAGAAAAAUAAAGUAAAUUAAAAUAAAAAAUACAAAAGCCCAACCAAAUUGAAAGUAAAUUUCAUUGAAAAUCAAAUAAACAAACUGCAACUGGCAUUCGCAGCCAACACUCCGCGUGUGUUUCAAUUUUCACACUUCCAUUACAAAGCGAUUACAUCAGAUCAAAGUAGUUAAAGCAAAUAAACAAUAAACCAAUAAAUUAGAAUUGUAAUUUGCAAAAAAUCACGCACAUAUACUGCAUACAUACAAAAACAAAGAUAUGAUAGAGUAAAUACUUAAUUAGAAAAUAAAAUAAUAUCAAAUUUCAUAGUCAACCAGUAGUUAAAUAUUUGUAAAAGCGCAAAUGCAAAUUGUUUCCACUAGCAGGCAAAGAAAAAGAAAUAUUUCACUAAUUGCAUUAAAUAAACACAUUAAAAAAUCAUUAAACAAAUAAAUUACAUACCAAUUUCGUGUAAUUCAGCGCAUUAAAAGCGAGAAUGGCAACCGUUUGAUGUUUGUAAAAAUACGCAAAGUUAGUUGAAAAAAAUAAAUUCCAUAAAUUGAAAGCAUUUCGCCAUACGUGAAACAAAUUUUCAUCACUCCAACGCUUCAAAAACCAAAAAAAAAUUAUAAAAAAUUAAACAAAAACUUAACUUCUGAAUGUCCUUCUAUGGAAAUCCUCGCAUUUAAAUUAGUGAAUUAAAAGCAAAAAAUAAAGGCAAAUUAACAAAACAAACAAAACAUUAAAUAUAAUUCGUUACAAUUAAGCAAAGCAAAACAUAAAAAUAACAGAAAAAAAAUCAACAGCAACGUACACGCACAUAUACAUAUGUAAGUUCAAACGAAUGCAUUCAGCAGCUACGCAAUAAAUAUUUCAUGAAAUUAUUGUAAGUGUUAUACGACAAAAAGAAAGCAACAAAAAGUAUAAAUAUUUAGAAAGUCGCCCGCGAUUGACGCGCCACUCUCAUUUUCGUCGAAAUAAAAAGUAAAUUGUGGCAUAUUUUUAAGCGCUCAUCAAAUCGAGAGAAUAAACUAAUUAUAUAAACCAUCUAAAAAAAUCAUAUAACAUUAAUAUAAAAUCACUCAACUAACUGCGUAAAUAAUUUAUAUGUAUUCGUGCAUUCCAAACAUACACUCAUACAUACUUACAUAUAUAGCGAUUGUUUCUUAAAACGGUGUUGUGUAGCAUAAGAUUAGAGUGAAUUCAAUAGUAACGAAACGAAGGCUAAUCCCAAAUCUUGCAUUGUACGAGCGAACAAAGAGUUGGUGGAGAGAGGUAAGCGUGCGAAUGUCGAUUGACAAAUAAUUUAAUCAAAAUUUGAAUUAUCUAAAUUAAUGUUGGAUGGUG